rnacentral:rRNA from 1 species
AUGAACGCUGGCGGCGUGCCUAAUACAUCCAAGUCGAGCGAACGGACGAGAAGCUUGCUUCUCUGAUGUUAGCGGCGGACGGGUGAGUAACACGUGGAUAACCUACCUAUAAGACUGGGAUAACUUCGGGAAACCGGAGCUAAUACCGGAUAAUAUUUUGAACCGCAUGGUUCAAAAGUGAAAGACGGUCUUGCUGUCACUUAUAGAUGGAUCCGCGCUGCAUUAGCUAGUUGGUAAGGUAACGGCUUACCAAGGCAACGAUGCAUAGCCGACCUGAGAGGGUGAUCGGCCACACUGGAACUGAGACACGGUCCAGACUCCUACGGGAGGCAGCAGUAGGGAAUCUUCCGCAAAGGGCGAAAGCCUGACGGAGCAACGCCGCGUGAGUGAUGAAGGUCUUCGGAUCGUAAAACUCUGUUAUUAGGGAAGAACAUAUGUGUAAGUAACUGUGCACAUCUUGACGGUACCUAAUCAGAAAGCCACGGCUAACUACGUG